AAACCGGGGCUAAUACCGGAUAAUAUUUUGAACUGCAUAGUUCGAAAUUGAAAGGCGGCUUCGGCUGUCACUUAUGGAUGGACCCGCGUCGCAUUAGCUAGUUGGUGAGGUAACGGCUCACCAAGGCAACGAUGCGUAGCCGACCUGAGAGGGUGAUCGGCCACACUGGGACUGAGACACGGCCCAGACUCCUACGGGAGGCAGCAGUAGGGAAUCUUCCGCAAUGGACGAAAGUCUGACGGAGCAACGCCGCGUGAGUGAUGAAGGCUUUCGGGUCGUAAAACUCUGUUGUUAGGGAAGAACAAGUGCUAGUUGAAGAAGCUGGGACCUUGACGGUACCUAACCAGAAAGCCACGGCUAACUACGUGCCAGCAGCCGCGGAAAUACGUAGGGGGCAAGCGUUAUCCGGAAUUAUUGGGCGUAAAGCGCGCGCAGGUGGUUUCUUAAGUCUGAUGUGAAAGCCCACGGCUCAACCGUGAAGGGUCAUUGGAAACUGGGAGACUUGAGUGCAGAAGAGGAGAGUGGAAUUCCAUGUGUAGCGGUGAAAUGCGUAGAGAUAUGGAGGAACACCAGUGGUGAAGGCGACUUUCUGGUCUGUAACUGACACUGAGGCGCGACAGCGUGGAGAGCAAACAGGAUUAGAUACGCUGGUAGUCCACGCCGUAAACGAUGAGUGCUAAGUGUUAGAGGGUUUCCGCCCUUUAGUGCUGAAGUUACCGCAUUACGCACUCCGCCUGGGGAGUACGGCCGCAAGUUUGAAA
rnacentral:rRNA from 1 species